rnacentral:rRNA from 1 species
CGGGGGGGGCAAGCGUUGUUCGGAAUUACUGGGCGUAAAGGGCUCGUAGGCGGCCAACUAAGUCGGAUGUGAAAUCCCCAGGCUUAACUUGGGAACUGCAUCCGAUACUGGAUGGCUUGAAUCCGGGAGAGGGAUGCGGAAUUCCAGGUGUAGCGGUGAAAUGCGUAGAUAUCUGGAGGAACACCGGUGGCGAAGGCGGCAUCCUGGACCGGCAUUGACGCUGAUGAGCGAAAGCCAGGGGAGCAAACGGGAUUAGAUACCCCGGUAGUCCUGGCCCUAAACGAUGAAUGCUUGGUGUGGCGGGUAUCGAUCCCUGCCGUGCCGAAGCUAACGCAUUAAGCAUUCCGCCUGGGGAGUACGGUCGCAAGGCUG